rnacentral:lncRNA from 10 species
GCCACGACAUGUGGGAGACAAGAGUUAUUACUCAAAGCAAUCUCACUGAAGGCUUGGAUGGGAAGGGCCCACUCACUGAACUAACUCCCUUCCCUCUACUCCCAGAGCCCGCCCGGCAGGACCACCGAGCAAGGCCUUGGAAAACCAGAGAGAUUAGAGCGGGCUCCUGGGAUGGUUCUUCCCGUUCUUUGCGCCGCCUUCACCCAUUGAAGAGCCUGUGCCCACCCUGCCCAGUCGCUCUCGGGGCCGCGGAGGAGCUUCCGCUGCCAUCUUCGGAUCCUGUGUUCCGCACGGGGGCUCCACCAGGGCAGGGAUGGUGCAGAAUGGGGAAAUGGAGAGAGAACCUGAAAGAGCCCCAAACUCGAGGACCUAUUGCUCCCCAAGAAUAACAUCUUCCAGAAGAACUAGACAGAAAACUAGGCGUCUGGGAACUCUGAAAUCCUUGGAGGAGUAGCAUCAUCAUGACCCUCUGUGUUCCUUUUGGCAAAGGACUUGCUCCCAUUGUUUGCUUGUUCCAUUGUCUGUCUGUUAAAUAAAUAAAACCCUUUUCAUAUAUCUUUAAACUU